CCCUUAGAUGUUCUGGGCCGCACGCGCGCUACACUGAUGCAUUCAACGAGUCCAACCUUGACCGAGAGGUCCGGGUAAUCUUUGAAACUGCAUCGUGAUGGGGCUAGAUUAUUGCAAUUAUUAAUCUUCAACGAGGAAUGCCUAGUAGGCGCAAGUCAUCAGCUUGCGUCGAUUACGUCCCUGCCCUUUGUACACACCGCCCGUCGCUCCUACCGAUUGGGUGUGCUGGUGAAAUGUUCGGAUCGGCCGUUUGUCGCGGUUUCCGCGUCAUGUGGCUGAGAAGUUCAUUAAACCCUCCCACCUAGAGGAAGGAGAAGUCGUAACA
rnacentral:rRNA from 1 species